GGCCGAAUGGUGUAGUGGUUAUCACGUGUCCUUCACACGGACAAGGGUAUGGCAACAAACCAAGAGAAUUUAUAGAAUAUAACUAACAAAAUGCAAGUCCUGAGUUCGACCCUCAGUUUGGUCA
rnacentral:tRNA from 1 species